GACAGAGGGUGCAAACGUUGUUCGGAAUUACUGGGCGUAAAGCGCGUGUAGGCUGCUCGGAAAGUCGGAUGUGAAAGCCCUGGGCUCAACCUAGGAAGUGCAUUCGAAACUUCCGAGCUGGAGUGCUGGAGAGGAAGGCGGAAUUCUCGGUGUAGAGGUGAAAUUCGUAGAUAUCGAGAGGAACACCGGUGGCGAAGGCGGCCUUCUGGACAGCGACUGACGCUGAGACGCGAAGGCGUGGGGAGCGAACGGG
rnacentral:rRNA from 1 species